rnacentral:misc_RNA from 1 species
GAAAUGCGAUAAGUAAUGUGAAUUGCAGAAUUCAGUGAAUCAUCGAAUCUUUGAACGCACAUUGCGCCCGGCAGCAAUCUGCCGGGCAUGCCUGUCCGAGCGUCAUUUCUGCCCUCGAGCGCGGUUCGGCCCCUAGCGGGCCGGCCGCCGCCCGGUGUUGGGGCGCUGCGGGCCCUCGUGCCCGCAGGCCCUGAAAUGAAGUGGCGGUCCCGCCGCGGCGCCCCCUGCGUAGUAGUAAAGCACCUCGCACCGGGUCCCGGCGGAGGCCAGCCGUCGAACCUCUCUUUUGAUGGUUUGACCUCGGAUCAGGUAGGGUUACCCGCUGAACUUAAGC